rnacentral:rRNA from 1 species
AGUGAACGCUGGCGGUAGGCCUAACACAUGCAAGUCGAACGGCAGCACAGUAAGAGCUUGCUCUUACGGGUGGCGAGUGGCGGACGGGUGAUGAAUACAUCGGAAUCUACUUUUUCGUGGGUGAUAACGUAGGGAAACUUACGCUAAUACCGCAUACGACCUACGGGUGAAAGCAGGGGAUCUUCGGACCUUUCGCGAUUGAAUGAGCCGAUGUCGGAUUAGCUAGUUGGCGGGGUAAAGGCCCACCAAGGCGGCGAUCCGUAGCUGGUCUGAGGGGAUGGACAGCCACACUGGAACUGAGACACGGCCCAGACUCCUACGCGAGGCCGCAGUGGGGAAUCUUAGGCAAGGGGCGAAAGCGUGAUCCAGCCAUACCGCGUAGGUGCAGAAGGAGUUCGGGUUGUAAAGCGCUGUUGUUGGGAGAGAAGAGAAGCAGGUUCAUCCCGCGCUGUAAUGACGGUACCCAAAGAAGAAGCACCGGCUAACUUCGUG